GGGGAGGGGCCCUAACUGUGGUGACAGGUGUGUGAGGUCACAUUGUCUCCACAGUCAUAAAGCUCAGAGAAAUGGAUGCUGGUGCUCAGCCCCCACCAUCUUAGGUGGUGUAGGAUCCCAGCCCAGGUGUCUCCUCUCCUCAGUUAAAGUUCUCUGGAAAUGUCCUCAUAGACACCCACAGAGAUGCCACUUCUAGGUGAUUUCUAAAUCCCGUCACAUUGACAGUGAAGACCAUCACCCUGUGGCAGAUGUCCCUGUCUUCUUCAGUUUCUCACAUUAAAACUAUGGUCACCAAGGUUUCUUUCAGAUGUUUAUGAAUUCCCACCCUGGCGUGUUAGAUGGCUUUCCUUCGAAUAGACCUGUUGAACUGAACACACCCAAAGAGACAUUGGAAUGUGGAAUACACGAUCAUUUGUACCACAAGGAGAUGGUUCUUGCUUGUCUUCAUCAUCCGGAGGAAGUGCCUGGAGCUUGUACCUGUCUUUGGGGAACAGAUCUCUAGCUCUGGGACAUCUACAUGAGAGUUAUUCUUUAAAAAUCUAUCAUCAAACAAUUACAGCAACCAAGAAUCCCUCUUUGCGGCUCGGUCUGAUAG